rnacentral:lncRNA from 1 species
UGAACUGGGGUAAUGAGAGCAGGCAACUCCUCAGGCGCCCUAACGGAAGUUGAUGAAAUGACCGGAAAUGAACAAAUCAAGAAAUAAGAGCGCGUGCACGUUAUUUAGAAACAGGCGCAGAAAUUCUACAAGAAUUAGGUAGGAGUGCAAAGUUGUUGCUUGGAGGGUGGGUGGAUGCAGGUAAGGAGAGGUGGAGCAGGGCAUCGUCCUUUGGAUGGAACUGUACGUGAGCUGAGCUUUUGUUUGACUGAAUACUUUUUUUCAAGGACAAGGAGGUUCUGCACCAGCUGAGCUUUCUGGUGCGCCAUGAAAUUGCACCAGAAUUUGUCUUUAUGGCAUGUUUCUCCUCAUACGAGAUCAAGAAGUAAGUUUCCAAAAUAGGCUUCCCCUCGAGAACAAGUGAGGGGGCCAGGGCAUCCUGUGUGAGCCUCUUGGCUCUCUGCUCCCUCCGGUCCUCUCCUCGGGGGCUGAGCUGGGAGUCCUCCCCGGUCCGCCCCACAUCCGCAGGCCUUCCCCUCCAGGCCUGCCUCCAUGCCUCCGAUCCAGCCACCUCGGGAUCCGCGGAUCCGCGGGGCUAACGCAUUCUUCUCAAAAUCUUCCCUUCCCCCCGCCGUCAUUCCCAGCUAUUUAGGUCACCGUGGACGAUUUUAGAGACAGAGGAAGAGGCACUAAUGCAAACUUGGGCUAGCAUUUGUUAAAAAUAAAAUGUUGGCAUGCAUAUUUUAACAGGAACCCGUCUGGAUCCGAAAAUACACAGAGACGACGCGAACACACAAGGGGACCUCUUUUCUUCCCGACGCUUUCGUCAACUCAAGAAAACUUGUUCGUCAAGGCAGCCGUUGCUCUACUGACUUGCAUCAUGCCUGCCCCCAGCCACAUUUUUCAGAGACAGCGUCUCGCAUCUGGGAUUUCACAAGCAACAGUGGGGGAGGUGGGUGGGAGCCGAGCGCGGUCCUUGCUCCUGCAUUCUCGGGAUGGAAUGAGACAGAGCCUGUUUGGCGCUGAAGACAGAGCUCUGGCUUCAGGUCUCGGAUCUGAGUCCAAGGAGGAGAGAUGGGAAAGGGAACGCUCCUCCCCAUACAAAUGUGGGUUUUUCUGAGCCACGCUCAGCUCCGGCAGGUGCUGUGAAGGCAUCCCGCAGGACCCCCCACACGUGACCCACAUCGGCGGAGGAGAGCUUGUUCCUAGGAGGCCGCCCACACGCUGCUGUCCAGCAGACAUUGACAGAACACUGUAACUCACCUACAAGUAAAAAUAAUUGAAAGAAAGUGUGAGCGUGCCACAGGAAAGCCUACCUUGUCGUCUAGACUUCUUUGGCCCUUGACAGACACCUCCUAGAAGUUCUUUAUUUUUCUCUUGCUUUCUUAAAGCAAGAUUUUGAAGCAGCUCUCACGCAACCCAGCUUGGGUCUGCUCUGCGGUGCGUAGUAAAGCUAAUCUCCUGAUACAGGGCUGUGGUGCAGGGACGUGCAGCGGUUACGGUGGGCGUCCAGCAAGGCGUCCAGGUGGUAAUGCUCCCAAGGCCCCGACUCCCCAGCGGGUUCCAGGAGAGCAUGUUUGGAGGCCAGGUAAGGGAGGGGGUCCCAGGUGUGUGAACAGCUUGUGCACAGUUCUCUGGCUGGCUGAUGGCAAGGUAACACGCACUGUCACAGGGGUUUGUGUCAUCAGUCCUUAGGCUGCAGCAGGCCUGGGGGCUACAAGCUCCUGGGCAUCGAGCAGAUAACAGCCUCCACUGGGUGGGAGUUUUAGCAUCUGUAAAACAGCUCAGGAAGCUGCAUCAGAUACGGUUAUCUGGGCUUUAGAGAGGAGCUGAAGCAGAGGACACGGGGGGAGGGGGCUGGCCCAGGGAACGUCCCAGAAGGUCCUGCUCGGUGACACCAACAUCUGUUUCCAGAGAAACUUUGUCUUCCACCUUCUUCCCUGCCCCACAGGGAAAGUACUUUUCUAAUGUAGAUUUCUUGCCUAAAUAAGAGACUGAAGACUCAGUCACUGAAAUCAGGGUGUUCCAUGACUGCUGGGGCUCAUGGUACAUCUCAUCAAGAACCCAAAGAGUUGGUGCACAAAGACAGGCGUUCCCGUUGUGGCACAGCGAAAACAAAUCCGACUAGUAUCCAUGGGGACGCGGGCUCCAUCCCUGGCCCUGCUCAGUGGGUUAAGGAUCCGGCGUGACUGUGAGCGGUGGUGUGGGUUGCAGACGCGGCUCGGAUCUGGCAUUGCUGUGGCUGUGGUGUAGCCUGGUGGCUCUAGCUCUGAUUCAACCCCUAGCCCGGGAACAUCUUUAUGCCACAGGUGCAGCCCUACAAAAAGCAAAACCCAAACAUAACAAAAACCAACCAAGCAACCAACAAAAGGUUUGCUUUAGAAGUGAAACAGGGGGGCAGACAUAAAAUCAUUCAGGUGGUUGGGUUCCCCUCUGGAAAUGUGGAAGACAGCAGUCCCUCCCCGGUAUAGUGUAGAGAAAUGAAAACUGAGGUGUUCACAGACACUGGCCCAUAGCAGCCAGAUCUGUAAGAGCCCCAAACCAGUAUCAGCCUGGAUCCCUGCACUGUAGACACACUGUUUAUUGAUGCACAACCACCUGGAUGACUCCAAGCACCCAAAGCCAGUCUCGACACGCCACGGAUUUCAUGAUUCCUUUGCAGACUCCCUCCACAUCACCAAGUAUAGAGAUGAAGACCAGACUCCCUGGCUUCCAGGGGAUGGAGAAGGAGAGAGGGCAUGUGGCAAUAAAGAGGUGACCCAGGGACUUGCCUUCUAGUGA